CAGGGCCCAUGCACUUGAUCUCUGCCUUGUCUCUAUGAGCAGGUACACUUCGAGCAAAAUAUGAAGGACUUUUACAACUCCUACACUCCACCAAGUGAAGAACCUAGAUCUACGAGCAUAAACACACUGGAGUAGCCCUAUUGUGGAAGUAACUACUGACCUUCUGCCGGUCAAGAGAGGCGAUCCAGGAUGCACCGUCAUCCCGAUCUCCAUCGGCAUGGUGAACUUCCCAGAAGCACUCGGCGACUUUGGCUCCAGCAUCAACAUUAUGCCCAGGGUACUGUUGACACUUGCUAACACCACUUGAAUACUAGGUUGUCAUCCCCAGCAUGACACUAGAGUGUACUAUGGUAUUUAUACGCACACAGAUAAUCCGCAAGCGCACGGAUACCGUUGAAGCU
rnacentral:lncRNA from 1 species